UACGUAGGGUGCGAGCGUUGUCCGGAAUUAUUGGGCGUAAAGAGCUCGUAGGCGGUCUGUCGCGUCGAUCGUGAAAACUUGGGGCUUAACCCUGAGCUUGCGGUCGAUACGGGCAUGACUGGAGUUCGGCAGGGGAGACUGGAAUUCCUGGUGUAGCGGUGAAAUGCGCAGAUAUCAGGAGGAACACCGGUGGCGAAGGCGGGUCUCUGGGCCGAUACUGACGCUGAGGUGCGAAAGCGUGGGGAGCAAACAGG
rnacentral:rRNA from 1 species